rnacentral:misc_RNA from 1 species
GAAAUGCGAUAAGUAAUGUGAAUUGCAGAAUUCAGUGAAUCAUCGAAUCUUUGAACGCACCUUGCGCUCCUUGGUAUUCCUUGGAGCAUGCCUGUUUGAGUAUCAUGAAAUCUUCAAAGUAAAUCUUUUGUUAACUCAAUUGGUUUCUACUUUGGUAUUGGAGGUCUUUGCAGCUUCACACCUGCUCCUCUUUGUUCAUUAGCUGGAUCUCAGUGUUAUGCUUGGUUCCACUCGGCGUGAUAAGUUAUCUAUCGCUGAGGACACUGUAAAAGGUGGCCAAGGUAAAUGCAGAUGAACCGCUUCUAAUAGUCCAUUGACUUGGACAAUACUUUUAUGAUCCGAUCUCAAAUCAGGUAGGACUACCCGCUGAACUUAGGC